UUAAUCGAUUAGUUGCUUUUUAUUCGUUUUCAUGCUGAAUGACUCACUGAUUCUUUGUGGAGAAACUCAGUUUUACAAUCUGUCGAUUAAAUGAUUUAAUCUGUCGAUUACAUUAUUAAAUUUAACGAUUGACGACUAAUCGAUGAGUUUAUGUAAAUCAACUAAUCGAUUUGUCGACAAUAUCGUAAAAUCGUUAUUUGACUAAAAUUUUCUUUGGUCGAGGACAACCCUAGAUUUUUUGCAUCAAUGUGAUGAAUUACUAUAAUUUGAUCUAUAAUCAGUUUCCCAAUCAAUAUACUGUAUCCCAAGUACUAUGUCCCAAUACAUAUAAAUACCCAAGAUAAAAUUACAUGUACUAUGAUUGAUGAUUUUAUCCAUAUUGCCCACUCCUACUCCUUGUUUUUUAACUUUAAAUACCAAUAAAACAGUUACAACCACAACUUUUUGAUGAGAUUGAAACAUAGAUUGUUAUGAGUGAAUUAUAACAACAAAUGAAUUAGACAGAAUAGUUUCUGACUUCCCACCCAAACAUUAUUAGCCUGCUAAAAACUUCUUUACAAUGAAGAAGGUUUAUCCAGGCUCUGGAUGAUAAUGGGUUACUAUUAUAAGAUGUGCGAUUAGGAUCUUUCACAUCCUUUGCAAAGGUAAUUUAAUAAUGAGACCAGACCACAAUAGAAAUUGGGUACAUGCCUUUUUUCUUAAUUCUGAUGGGGAUAUUUUAAUAGCCGUU